CCCUCCUCUCUGACUUCCCAGGCUUGGGGGAGAUAUUCAAAGGAGAGUGAGUACCAACCCAUUCCCAGCCUGGGUGCCUAAGGAAGCACACAACAAGGUGGAACGUUAUUCAGCCAUAAAAAGGAAUGAAGGUCUGAUACAGGAUAUGUUGUGGAUGAAGACUGAAAAUGUGCUAAAUGAAAGAAGCCAGACACGAAGGUCACAUGGUGUAUGACUCCAUUUUUAUGAAAUGUCCAGAAUAGGCUGGCUGGUGCAGAGAUCAAACCGUAAACCUUGGUGUUAUCAGCACCACACUCCAACCGAGUAACCAGCCGGC